GCGGGCUUAGUUCAAUUGGUAGAACGUUUCCUUGCCAAGGAAAAGGUUACGAGUUCGAGCCUCGUAGCCCGCU
rnacentral:tRNA from 1 species